ACAUGACAUUGAGCUCAACAGCAGGAGAGGUGUGAUUGUGUCCGUGUACAGCACAGCUAUAUCUGCCUGCAUCCUCUCUUCUGACUGACUGCAGCAGGAGUUCAUUGUUUCUGUCUCUUCUCUCAGUUAAUGGCUGUGAGUUUCUGUACCAGAUGAAUGUUGCUCUGUCAGUCAGAGUGCAGCUGCUUUUACAUGUCAGACGGACUGAAUCUCCCUCUGUCACUCUCUCAGGAGACUGAGACACCUGAAGAUCUG